UACGAAGGGGGCUAGCGUUGCUCGGAAUCACUGGGCGUAAAGCGCACGUAGGCGGAUUGCUAAGUCAGGGGUGAAAUCCUGGAGCUCAACUCCAGAACUGCCCUUGAUACUGGCGGUCUCGAGUCCGGGAGAGGUGAGUGGAACUGCGAGUGUAGAGGUAAAAUUCGUAGAUAUUCGCAAGAACACCAGUGGCGAAGGCGGCUCACUGGCCCGGUACUGACGCUGAGGUGCGAAAGCGUGGGGAGCAAACAGG
rnacentral:rRNA from 1 species